rnacentral:lncRNA from 1 species
UUAUGGAACACUCUCUGUACACUCUCCGCAGGUCUUGUCUCCCAACCGUCCUUCAGCUUCUUUUUUCUUCCUCUUAAUCUCUUGGCCCCCCUGGCCAGAUACCAAGGAUCCCAUAACAGUCACCAGCAGUCACCGGUUAUUAUCAGUUGUUCUGAAACUCCCAAACAGGUUGGCAACUCACGAGCAAUUAAAACAUUCUUUCCCAGCUAUUCACAGUCAUCUACAUAACAUCUAUAGCAGUGUUAAAUCAAUCUUGAAGAAGACAGAAAAGAAAAACUGUAACUGUUAGAACUAGAAGUCAGGAAUAACAAAAGCAAACAGGUUCACAAAUUUAAGGAGUGUUUUCUGAAGACGUGAUAAAUUGACUGGAAUGAGGGGGAGACUGGGACACACUGCAUCUGUGGUUCAAGAAUUAAACUGCCAGUGCAGGGCCCAGAGGCAGACAGGAUUCAAACAGAAUUGUUCUUUAUGGACACAAAUUUAUGGACACAAAUUGGAAUUGUUAAAACAUUCCUCACAUCUCCCAUAGGAUUGUCUGAGGACUCCUCAGAGAAGGUAGCAUUCCCAAUCCCCCGUCCAGUAUCUUCUUCUCGCAUCCCCCCGGGGUAACUGUACCUGCUGCUUCCCUAAAGCGCUUGGGCACGGAGUGUGGGAAACAAACAGGAUGAGCUCAAGGUCUGCGUUCGGAUGGGGAGCGAGGACUCGGGGAGCGAGGACUCGGGGAGCGAGGACUCGGGGAGCGAGGACUCGGGGAGCGAGGACUCGGGGAGCGAGGACUCGGGGAGCGAGGACUCGGGGAGCGAGGACUCGGGGAGCGAGGACUCGGGGAGCGGGACCACAUGACAGAAACUUUAAAAAACCCCAAGUUCCAUGUUACAGACACACUCAAAAAAAUCCUCAAGCUCCCCAACCCGUAUCAAAUUUUUAACCCAGGAGUACUUACCUGCCAGCUUCUGAAUUUUACUUACUACCAAACAACUUCAUGGGGAAGUAGCACCACCAGGGUUUUCCCAUUCUGAGUAGUCACCACCGAUGUUACUAGCUCAUAGAGUGUCCCAAACUAUUUCACAGAGAUUGUAGAAAACUGGGUGAAAAAGCAGCCAACUUAGGAACACUGUUUCCAUUUUACGAGGACAGUAGAAAAA